rnacentral:tRNA from 1 species
UGAGACGGGGCUCAGUGGUAGAGCUCUUGUCUUGCAAGCACAAGGGCCUGGGUUCGAUCCCCAGCACCACAA